GCUAUUUUGGCAGAGAAAUGUAAUAAAUUUAGAAUUUAUAAAUGUAAUUUAUAUUACAAAUAGUA
rnacentral:tRNA from 1 species